CAGCUUGUUGGUGGGGUAAUGGCCUACCAAGGCGACGACGGGUAGCCGACCUGAGAGGGUGACCGGCCACACUGGGACUGAGACACGGCCCAGACUCCUACGGGAGGCAGCACUGGGGAAUAUUGCACAAUGGGCGAAAGCCUGAUGCAGCGACGCCGCGUGAGGGAUGAAGGCCUUCGGGUUGUAAACCUCUUUCAGCAGGGACGAAGCGCAAGUGACGGUACCUGCAGAAGAAGCACCGGCUAACUACGUGCCUGCAGCCGCGGUAAUACGUAGGGUGCGAGCGUUGUCCGGAAUUACUGGGCGUAAAGAGUUCGUAGGCGGUUUGUCGCGUCGUUUGUGAAAACCCGGGGCUCAACUUCGGGCUUGCAGGCGAUACGGGCAGACUUGAGUGUUUCAGGGGAGACUGGAAUUCCUGGUGUAGCGGUGAAAUGCGCAGAUAUCAGGAGGAACACCGGUGGCGAAGGCGGGUCUCUGGGAAACAACUGACGCUGAGGAACGAAAGCGUGGGUAGCAAACAGGAUUAGAUACCCUGGUAGUCCACGCCGUAAACGGUGGGCGCUAGGUGUGGGUUCCUUCCACGGAAUCUGUGCCGUAGCUAACGCAUUAAGCGCCCCGCCUGGGG
rnacentral:rRNA from 1 species